GUGCACGCUGGCGGUAGGCCUAACACCUGCCAGUCGAACGGCAGCACCGUAAGAGCUUGCUCUUACGGGUGGCGAGUGCGGACGGGUGAGGAAUACAUCGGAAUCUACUUUUUCGUGGGGGAUAACGUAGGGAAACUUACGCUAAUACCGCAUACGACCUACGGGUGAAAGCAGGGGAUCUUCGGACCUUGCGCGAUUGAAUGAGCCGAUGUCGGAUUAGCUAGUUGGCGGGGUAAAGGCCCACCAAGGCGACGAUCCGUAGCUGGUCUGAGAGGAUGAUCAGCCACACUGGAACUGAGACACGGUCCAGACUCCUACGGGAGGCAGCAGUGGGGAAUAUUGGACAAUGGGCGCAAGCCUGAUCCAGCCAUACCGCGUGGGUGAAGAAGGCCUUCGGGUUGUAAAGCCCUUUUGUUGGGAAAGAAAAGCAGCAGGUUAAUACCCCGCUGUUCUGACGGUACCCAAAGAAUAAGCACCGGCUAACUUCGU
rnacentral:rRNA from 1 species